UGGGCAGAGUGCUACCUGCUGAACCACGACACAGGGAGGUUCUUGAAGCAACAAGAGCAUUCAUGAAUUUUAAUGCACAAAGGAUUGUGGAGGAGAGUCCAAAGAGGGAGCUGCUUCCAUCAGCUGCAGAAUGGGAAGAAUUGCUGCCAUGUCUUCAAGCACUGAGUCACUAAUGCGCAGAGAAAGGAGCAACCCUGUGGAGGAAGAAGCGCAUACGCAGAUUAAAACGCAAGAGGCGAAAGAUGAGACAGAGGUCCCAAUAACUUCAUGUAGAGUUACUGUUAAUCUUUGCACAGUUAAAUUGCAAACCUAAGAAGAACUGCAACAUGUCUUGCUUGGGGCAUAAUCAUCAAAAUCAAAACAUUGGAUGAAGAUACAUUCAUCACAUUUGCUUUAUCUUCUGGAACUCAAGA